GAGUCCGCUUAGUAACAUUCCGUAAAAGCCCGAUUACGAAAUUACAGAACGGUUGAAAUAUUAUCUGGAACUGAUGUUCUUUAAUUGUCAUCAGAUGAGAUUAGCUUAACAGCGCACUGUGGCUACGUAGAUCAUUAACGGAACAGCUGUCACCAGUACAUACGUCAAUGUUCUAGGACAUCGCCAUAAAGACGUUAAAGCCAUAAAGACGUCGCCAUAAAGACGUCGCCAUAAAGACCGUGCAGCAGGACAUAUAUAACGCGCAUAAAUCGCCAGCAGUGGAUGUGAACUCAAAAGCGUUUUUUUCGUACGCAAUACGCUUUGAGCCAAGAAAGAAGAACCUUUCUUGCCAUUAACCGUACAUUGCAUAUGAUUAUGCUGUAUGUUCCGCCAGUUCCGGUAUGUGUUCAGUCCAUGAUUGGCUCCAAAAAAAGACGCAGAUCAAACAUUUCCGGUUUAGUCCGCCUGCUAACUAGUUGACAAUCAGAUACACUGUAUUUCCAGCAACACGGGAUGGACCGACAGCAAAUGCAAGACCUGCUCAAAAUCCAGCAGCAGAAGGAAGACGAACUGAUGAGGACAAUGCGCAGUAUGCAGGCGGGCUUCAUCCAACGCCAUAACGAAAUCCGGAUGUGGCUUAGGCAGAUCACACGGGACUUGUCCAAGAAUCCAAACAGGACACAACAAAUUCAGAUGGUGCGGGACUUGGACAAGUACAUGGCCGCGCAGAACGAGAACAAUGAAUGUUACACUUCAAGUUUCCUACAAUGUUGGCGUGCACUUACGGAAGAACAUAAGCGAACCCGCGACGUCAUUAACAGAGCCCUGCUCCAAGAAAUAAAUAAUGGAAUAUAAAAGCAGUCGAAAAUUCUGAUAAUUUUGCGGCAGUUGCAAAUAUCUUUCAGAUCAAAUGUUUUGCGCUUGAUUCAACCUGGCAGUUACGUUUUUCCGAAUAUAAAAAUCUCCAAAAUGUAGCUGUCAACCAAAUCAACCGAAUUUUGUACUUCGUCAUUAAAUAAUGUUUGCUGCCUGCGCAAACUGCAAUAACCAUGGGCUUGGUAAAAUGAUAAA